rnacentral:antisense_RNA from 1 species
GGAGUGCAGGCCCAUCACCCCUCACUGGGGCCCCCCAUGAGGCCUGCCCGACUGCAUGCCCCACCCGGGCCCAUGGCAGCGCACCUGGAAGCGGACGGCUGAGGACUUGUUGCAGUGCAUGGAGAUGGGCGCGAAGCUGUACAGGGCCUUCAGUACAUCGCGGUUGAAGGAGUUCCAGGGAACAGAGGAUCCCAAAGCCCCCCUGCAAGAUGGAGAAGACCCGUCAACCCCGGGCCAUGCCACGCAGACGCUGCCAUCCAGCAGCUUCGCCACACCCACGUGUUCACUGCGUCCACUCGUCUGUUCACUGCACCGUGCCAGGCAUGCUCUGGGGAACCGAGUCCCUGCCCUCACGGAAUUGCCACCAUUGGCAGGAGAGACAGGCAGUGAGUGAGUCAACCAGGAAAUUCAUAUCAGGUACUGAUGUUGCUGUGAAGAAAAAUGAAACGGGACAAGCGGAUGGGGUGUUAUUGUGCCCAUUUUAUGGGUACAGAAACUGAGUCUCAGAGCAGGCAAGGGGACGCCCCGUGGUGGCCACAGCAUCGGUGGCACAGCCUGAGUGGACCCAGCCUCCCGGCUGUUGUCUGGAAGCUGUCCCCAUGACCUCCAGCGAGAGCCUGGAGCCAAGGACUGCAAGGGAGGCCCUUUCCACUGCAGCCCCGCACCGUCCACCAGUCAUUUCUCCAACGUGGCUCUGAGGGGAGCAGGGACUCUAGAAGACAGGACCGUGACUAGAGGCCGCGACAACCUCCAGCCUCUCACGGCAACCCUACGGCCUGCCAUCGCAUGGGAGGGGCAGGGCAGGCACCCUCUGAGUCCCCACUGCCAGCUUUAAGCCCCUCGCUGGGUUGCUGCUCUUGGAGCUGGUGACCGUGGAGCCUCAGCCAUAGGAGGAAGAACAGCAGCAGCUUGGAGGAGCUGGGGCUGGAGAGAGCAAAGCUCCCCCGGCAGCUGCUCAGACCCCAGCAGGUCAGGGGCCGGGACAUGACGCCCUGGCCACCCUUGCCCCUCCAGGCUCCCUGCUGUUUGUGAAGCUGCUGUAGGCCUGGGGAUUUCAUCUGGCUGGUGGGGAAGAAAGGCAAUCUUUACUCUAUGGCAGAACAAAGGGACUGGGCAAAGCUCGGCGUGGCACUUACACCAGCUGCCACCCCCUCCUCCCGUGCAGACAAAGAGCAUGGGACAGUUCUGCCCAGAGACGAAACCUGGCACCUGUUGGCCAGGACGGGUUUUUGCCAGCAUUGUUCUCUGGGCCGGAUUCCUCCUUUCCCAGCUUUUCUCAUCCAUCCCGCCCCCGUCAGAUCGGGACGAUUGCCCUCCUGUGUGAGUUCCUGUCCCUCCCCACCCUCUGCCGCCACAGACAUCAAAAGGGAACUGAGUCCAACCCUGUGUAGAAUCUGUUCUCCUCUUUCCCCUGGGGAAGGAAAUCGAAUUUCAAAGGCCACUGUGUCUUGGAUCAGCAGGUGAGGGCUUCUCAGAGUGUGAGAAGCUCAGGUCCACCUGGGGAGCUGCCCUCCCCUUUGAUCCCACCUGGUGCUGUGAUGUGGCCACUGCCAAGAGGAGGGCAUGGGCCAGGGAAGCCACAGAACUGCCCACGGGGACGCUGGCACCGAGGGCCUCAACCUGCAGAACGGCCAUCUGAGAUGUCCAUGGUGCUCACCAGGCCUGGCAGCCCCGAACGCCCUGGGACGUGGCGUCAGUUCCGCCGCCGUGAAGCCAGGUUGGGCAGGGAACAUGCAGUCUCCUCGCUGGAUGCCCGGCAAGACCCUCCCAUCCCUGGCCCCAGGGCCGUGCCUGCAGAAUGGGGCUGAUGGUGGGGACUUGCCUGGGGUGCUCCACCUGCAGAACCCUCUGUUUGCGAGCCCACUCAGUCACUGCACAGGUGCUUAGCCGAGAGGCGGCACAGUCGGGGUUGGCACCUGCACCCAUACCAGCCCUACCUCCUGUUCGCUGUGUGGCCUGAGUGGCUGGACCUCACUGUAUCUCCUGGUGGGAUUGCUCAGAGGUCUCAGCAAGGCUUGGUGUGGUUAGGAUGAGUUAUUAGAGCAGUGCUGAGCUGUGGCAAGCACCCGACAUCAGCCACUGCUGUGGUAUACUGGGCACCUCCUCUGGAGAGAAUAAAGGACUGACAAAGCUG